GCUUUUGUCAUUGACUUAUGGUUAGGGAAAAGAUGUAACCAGUCUAACGACCAGCAGCUACCAUCGUCUCCUAUCCUAAGUGAUCCAUUUUUAUGUUUUUUACAAGUGCACAUUAAUCUACAGUAAAUUUUCCUCAAGUGGUUACAUUUAAUCAGACAGAGCAAAUGAGUGUACCAUAACAAUCAUCCAGUAAAGAGUCUACAUCCAUCACAACAAUCCCC
rnacentral:lncRNA from 1 species